rnacentral:lncRNA from 1 species
GCACACAGACCCCACACACGCCACCGCUGGAAAAAUGGAAAAAAUUUGAGAGGGGGAGAGAUUUUUAUGGUUAUUUUCGUCUUUAUAGUUCGUAUUGUUCUCUGGUUGUGGCAAAUAUUGUUUCGCAGGUGUUGCUAUUGGAGGUGGAUGGCACCCCCCAUCCCACCCCCACCCCGCAAACACCCUAACCCCAUCUAUAUACACACCAAAACAGAUGCUGCCAUAAAUAUUCUCCUAUAUAUGCUGCUGCUCUUGCAUAGUCUACUCACACAAAUAAUCCUGUCUAAAUUUCACUUCCAUUCAUAGGGUUCCAAUUCUUGAAAAUCUUGACGCAAGUGAUAAAAAUUCUGUCUUUUGAGGCCUUAUUUUAUCAAUUCUUGGUUGAAUUGUGGAGAUAUGGAUCAAUUUGUGAUCUUACUAUGUUUCAGUACAUGGUUUCUGCUUUUCAAAAAGAAAAAUCUGUCUAAAAAGGCUGAGGAUCUUCUGGAUCUAGCACCAAUCCUACAGGGAAUCCUAACUCGACUCUGUUACAAUGAGUUGAAAAUAACUACUCAAGAUUUCAGUAGAAAGCUUGGGGAAGGAGGGUUGCAGAAGCAGGAUGAUGAUGAAGAUGAAGAGGGGAAUGAAAACAAGGGUUUAGAACAAUUUCUGUGCCCUUUUUUCUGUGUAUUUACUUUUCUAAAUUUUUUUGCCUCCUAUUUAAUAGGUUUUGUAAUUUUUGAAUUGGUAUAUUUUGUAAAAUAAAAUCUUCUGAUAUAUUUUGUAAUAUGGGCUUUAAUAUUGUAUAUUUAUGUGAUUUUUCCAAAUAAAAAAUAAAUGUCUUGCCAAAUAUUUUCCCUCCGUAGUCCAAUGUGUAGACUUUCGGAACCCUUCAUUUAGUAGUGUGAACCCAAAAAGGUCACAAAUCAAGAAUAUAAUAUAGCGUUGACAACUUGAACAAGCUAACUUGUAAGCAUCUUUAAAGAUUAUUCUAAAUAAGUAUGUCAAAUUUGACCAACUAUAUAUAUACUAGAUAAGUAUGCCCGUACUUAGCACAGAACAUGCAGAAUUUAAAGUAACUUUUUAUUUGCUACAAGUAUUUUGAGGUGUAAACCUGAAAUUGAAUUUAAACUAUUUACUUUUUGAAAAUACACUUAGUAUGUUAUUGUUGAUGAAUUUUCUCCCAUAAAGAAACAACCCUCUUAAUUCAAACCAAAUUAAGAAGCAUUAUGCAAAGAUUUUGUAUGAUAGAUUUAAAAUAUAAACUAACAGAUUGUAUCUAGUUGUUUUGCACCUUAGAACACAAAAUAUGUACAUAUCAAUAUGUUGAAUGUACACUCUAAUCAUGCUUUUCAUAAGUUUCAAGUAAUAUGUAUGAUAGUUCCUACUUAGAUUUUCUGUUUCCACAUUAUCCUCGGAAAACGGCGUACGAAAAGUUUUACAUCGCCUUCAAAAUGCAGACAAACCUUCAUAAAGUUAUAAAACAACAACAUAUCCAAUGUAAUCCUACAAGUGUGAUCUGAGGAUAGAGUGUACACACAACUUACUCCUACCUUGAAAGGUAGAGAGACUAUUUCUCAAGAACUGAAGUUGUGUUAUAAUGUUGAAACAGGAAAACAAAAUGCUUCUAUAAACUAGGUGAAUGAUUUACUUUGGGAGAGAAACGGCCAGCAACUUUGCUAGAAUUCAAAAAAUAAUACAAAAUUCUCUCAUAACAAAUACUACAAGACAUUUAUAAAUUGCUUGUUACUAUGUAAGAUUAAGUAACAAAUACUACAAGACAUUUAUAAAUUGCUUGUUACUCUGUAAGAUUAAGUUGCUUCCAGAAAGCUUCUUUCCCUGCAAGUCAUAAAAAAUUUGACCAUAUUUAAAUUCAAAUAAUUAUAUUACUAAACAAAGACUACGGCAUGAUCCAGAGAAGGAAUCUUUAUACAUCUAAUUUUUUUAUAUAACAUGAUAAUGAUCUUUUGGAAACAUACAAGAUGCUAUGUUACAGAAGUCAGAUCAGAGGAGCCCUUACUUCUUAAACAACUAAUUGAAACAGAAAUCUAUCUUCCUUGAAUAAAACAUUACAUAUUUAAAGAUUACAUUGAGAAUAACUCUUUCACUUUCCAAUAGUAGUAACGUUAUACUUUUUCCAAUAGAUGGAUUACAAUAUACCAAUCGAUGGAUCUACUACGGCUCAAUCCCGAAUAAGUAGGACAGAGUCCAAUAUAUACACUCAAAAUCAAAAUACUACUAUUUUCCCCUCUCAAAAGAAUCUUAUAUAGUAACUUCUUUAUUAUAUUAGGACCAAUGGAUUUAACCAACACUCCUGAGGCUUGUAACAGUUCCUCUCACAGAUCAUCAAGAAAAAGAUGUGGCUGCUGUAAACUUAUUUCACGAGAUUAUUGUUUGAUGAUAAGUUAAAUACCCCAACAAAUAAUUUCCAAUCUUUGUAGCAAGAGGGAAAGAAACUGAAAAUAGAGAACUUGUGACGCCUCGAAUUUGUAGUCAAAAUCCCAGCAGAAGGAACAUGAUACCGUAAGCAGUAAAGAGCUAUUAUAAUAAUGCUUCUCAAAAUGAAAGCUAAUCAAUUAGGGGAUAAUUAGUUUCCAAAUGUUACAAGAAAAGUAGUAUAUAUGCAAUGCAGUUUUAAUGAAUUAGAGGAUUAAUCAGCAAGGUUCAUCCAAGUACUUAAGGCAACAUAUUAAAAAAUGAUAUUACCUUCCCAAUGCAUCAUAAGUUGCUGCAAGAUUGCUAUAGACACCAAGGGUAUCUUGAUGACAAGGACCACACUCCUGUUCCAGAAUUCGUCUUGCUUCCUCAAAGAAUUCAGCAACCUCAUCUAUUUUGAAUAACUGAACAGAAGACAAUCCUAUCUGAUUCAAAACAACCCGAAAGAACGUUGACUUCCUCUCACUGCCAGCCCUGAGUUUUGCUACAACAUUUUCAAAGUUGUGUGCCUCUUCAUAUCUUCCAACCAUAUGGAACAUAACUCCCAUCCGUGCUUCAAUGCCAGCAAUCGUACUUUGCUAUCCUGGUUUAUCCUCCAAAAGUUUAAUUGCCUUGAGCAGGAGUUUCAGUGCCUCCUCAGGUUCAUUAAAUAACUCAUAAAUAACUGAAAUUUCUGUCAACCCACAAGCAGUCUCUUCUGUAGUCGUUCUAGGCCCAGGUUUUGCAUAUAUUCUCAAGGCAUUUUCACAAUAGGAUCUGGAUUCCCUCAGUUUUCCCGUCUUAUAGUAUAGGUCAGCCAGCCUUACAAAGACAAAUGCAACUGAAGGAUGGUUGUCACCCUUGGAUGAUUUGAAAAUAGUAGGUGACUUUUGAUAGGAGAAGACAACCUCAUCAAAACGAGACAGAGACAAGUACACACUGCAUUUUCUUGGUACAAUGCAAGAAAAUAAAAAUAAAAAUUACUCAUCCAUUUCAAUUUGUUUGUCCUACUUUAUUUUUUAUCUGUUUUAAAAAGNNNNNNNNNNNUUUCCCUUUUUUGGUAACUCAUUAACUAUUCAAGUCCAACUUUUUAUAUGGCAUAGCUAAGAUCACCGGACAAAAGAAAUUUUGAUACAUUCGAUAUAUCUUUAGUUUAAAAUCACAAGAUAAAAUCAAGCAAACAAAAUGAAAUAAAGGGAGUAUAGUAGUCGGUGCACCAUCAGUUAAAAUAUUUUGAUAGUUAAACCAAAAAUUGGUUUCCAAAUGACACCCAUAACAGUGAUACUUUUAGCUAGAUAUCAACUUGGCAGUGCCACAAUUGACAUUACAGAGGCAUAAGAUCGUGUAAUGUUAAUAGUUAGUGUGGCUAGAUUAUAAAAAGUUCGGCACAUUUGGGACAAAACAUCCAUUCUUAGUUGAUCGUACUUUCUUCUUUUUACCAUGUGAUAGGACAGUGAAGCCUGAGCGGGCGUGAAGAAGGAAAGGCCAAACACUUCGGCCUAAUGGGAAUGAGAAUUUGAUCUAAGUUUUAAAUGGAAGUAGCUGAGUAUUAUCUUUAUUAACUUUCCUGUGCCUUGCUCCGACAGCACCGGGGCCUGCCCCUACUAUUUCUUUGUUGGGUUAUAAUGAGUUUGUGACUUUUUUUUAUUCUUUCUCUCGUCUUACUACUGUUUAUCAACAAAUAUCUAAGAAUGAUAACCACCCAGUAUAAUCCCAUAAAGUGGGUUCUGAGGAGGGUAGAGUGUAUGCAACAGACCGGUAGAGACGCUAUUUCUCGUAGACGCUCUAAUGAAGGAAAAAUAACCCAAAGCAGUCCAUGAAAAGAAGCAACAUAAGUAGAAGAAAUAGAAAAUAGUGACAAAAUCAUCAGAUAGGAAAAGGAUCAUAUGCCAUACUCCUUUGGGAACUAACUAAAUAGAGUUAAAAAGUACUCUAUUAAGAACAUUGAAGAUUCAAAGCAAGGAUUCAUAUAGAAACGGACCCAAGAACAACAUACCCACAAAGUGAGGGUAAGUGUACACAGACCAUACCACGGAUGUUUCUGAUACAGUAAAGAACGCACAAGAUAAAAACAAACCAAAAGACUUUAAAUUCACAAUAACAGUAACCCCAAAGACAGGAAUGGAGAGGGCGCAUUCUUGGAUUUGACCGUAAGUGGAGAAAAGUUGAGAGAGCUGAUCAGCACAACCCAAUGCCGGAACAUUCCUCACUAUCAAAUAUCUGCACAAUAAUCAAUCCAUAACAUCAUCACAAAUUAUCGAAUAAAUUAUUAUUAUUUAGAAGACAGAGAUGAACUUGGAUUCAUCACAAACUGUGUAAAUGCAGACUACGGGAGCCUCGUCUUUGUAUCGAGGCAUUGGCCUUCCCCUUCACAACUCACCUUGCUUAUACGAAAACUCUCAAAAUUGGGAGUCUCCCUAACAUAUUUGGGAAACAUGCAACAAUAAAUUAAGGGCAAUGGAAAAAUUUCAAACCUAAAAUCUACAUCAACAGCAAUAGACAAAAUUAUCUUUUCUGAUAUUCCUCAAACAAAAUUCUAAUUAUAAAUGAACACGAAUAUAUAUAUAUAUAUAUAUCCCGGGCAUACAAAAUUGGUAUACUAAGAUCCCAAGUAAUUUUUGGAUAUUUAAGUGCAUAUAAUUCAUCACGUGACAAAAUCAGGGAAAGUUCAAAGAUUCUGGAAGUGGUGAUAAGUUACAAAAGGUUACCGCCUGGAUUACUAUGCAAUUCGUUAUUGUUUUAACAUGAAAUUGUUUUCCAAAAAAAUUAUAAAUAGUUUUACUACAAAAGAUUAUCUAUUACGCACUCCUUUACUGUGCACUGGUUAUGUAUUUAUCAGUAGCAGCACUUGAUAAUAAGCUUCAUAUGUAUGAACUUCUUUAUUGUUUUGAUAGAAAAACGACAUAAGAUUACGUCUUGGAUUACUUCAUAGUGUGCCGAAAUUCAGGAUUCAUAGUUUCACACCUAAUCAAAAUUAUAAACAUGAACAAAGUUAAGGACAAGGGGGAGGUAUAAUCGUUUUACCUAUUUCAAUUUAAUAAAUAUACAACCAAUAAACUUACCUUCUCUAGAACUUCUUAUAUGUGGACAGAAGGAAGUUUUUUGACCACUCAUAUGAUCCUGGUAACUGAAAAUCCGAACAUCAGUUCGCUCUCUCUCUAUACAUACAAACACACACACAGACACACACUCUCUUACAUACAUACAUAUAUAUAUAUAUAUAUAUACACGUUCUCCCAAUCUACAGCAAGUGACAAACAAUAUCAUCUCCGUAAAUAUGUACAUAAAAGUACAAUCAUAUAUAUAGCUUGGGUUGAUAGUACCCUCCUAGUGUCUACUGGGCACCAACUGACCAAGAUAGGAGGACUACUACGCAAUAAGGCUAACGUCUCUGUACUCCACGUUUAAGACGAAGGAGUGAGGUAAAAUAGUGAUAACAACAUACUCAAUGUAAUCCCAUAAGUGGAGUCUAGAAAUGGUAGAGGGGACACAGACCUUACCUUUACUUUGAGGUAGCGAAACUGCUCCCAAAAGACACCGACUCAAGUAAGUAACAUUACAUAAAUGGUGAUAUGAAUGUAAAAACAACUCAAGCUGAACCGUGUAGUGGUGCUACACUCAAAUUUAUUGACAUCUAAGAUGAAAUAAUAGAGGAAAACAAAAAAUACAAGAGAAUUUUGCUUAUAGUUGGAGAAAGGAAACAUUAACAAAGAAGGAAUUUCCUAUAUUUAAGAUGAACCAUUUCAGUUAUUAUACCUGAUGAAGCCAAAUGAUUUUACCAUCACCAAUUAUUUGCUGUGUUACAGGUUUAUCUCAUGUGUGUAUCAAAAACCGAUCAAAAAAUGCAAACACGGUCAUCAUGGAAGUGUAGCUCUAACUUCCAUCUUAUCUGUGCCAUAGGCCUGAAAAACAACACAUACUAAUCAGUUGAAAUAUUUAAGCAUUCUAAACCUAAAGUACUUCAACAAAAAUAGAAUUGUUGGUUUACGAGAGAUUUUUUGGUUGUAGGUUAUUCUUCCAUUCCCUAUUUGGAUAGUUGUAUUGAUUCAAGUGAUAUUAUAUAAUAACCAUCUGCAACUCUCCUAAAAGUCAGAGCUGCAAUAACCUCUUCAACCCAAACNNNNNNNNNNNNNNNNNNNNNNNNNNNNNNNNNNNNNNNNNNNNUUUCAUAUUUUUCUUUAAAAAAAUGACAUCAAGAAGAUGUAGAGUUACAAGGAACAAAAAUAAAAUAAAUUGCUAGCCUCAGUUAUACACUGUCUCCAUCUAAAACAAGAUCGAUUACAAAGAAGUUAACAUGUAUUAUACAACAUUAUCUAAUAAAAAAUUCAUUUGAAAUUACAGAAGUACCAGGUAAACAAAAGCAAACCAAGAAAUGUGCAGAAAAAUAUGAGUAUUGAUGAAUCUUUUUAUAUCUUCUAUUAGAACAAUAAAUGCAGAAAAAUAGAUCAUAUAAAUGAAAAAAUAUAAUGACAAAAUCAAGAUGGAUAAUAACGACAACAACAAUGAAAUUAACAAAUAAAAUUGAGCAAUUUGAAGAGAGCAGAAACAAGUUUAAGCAAAAACUUCAGAGAAUAAUUGCCCUUAAAUUGCAGACAUUAGCUCUUAAAGAACAAUUGAAAGGCUGAAAGGGUAAGGAGUUUUCCAGAAUUAUGUUGAGGACUAUAGGUGUUUUAUUGAUAUUAAUAUUUACCCUUGAAAGUGAGCAUAUUUACAGCCAUACCCUUAAUCGUCCCUAAACCAGCUCUAGAAAAAUAUCUAAACGUCAAAUUUGACUCACUAUAUACAUAUAUUACUUAGAUAUACAGAGAUUACAAAAAAAAAAGAGUUUAGAUACAUCGAGGAGCAGUCAAAGACAUGAUCCACAAAGAACAUCAACUCAUUCAUUCUCUUGGGAUAGUUUAAUUUUAUUGUUCAUAUGUUCCACAAAGUUUGGACAUUUUCCUCCACAAAGUAGCUUUUUUGAAGUUUGAUCUUUUCAUGUCCACACUAUGAUCACCCGAAAACAAAGAGUAUGAAAGUGAAGAAAAGGAAGAGGAUUAAACCGAGACUCUAUAUAAAUUUUUUAUGGACAGAGUUUUGUGGUUCUUUAUUUUUCUAAUCAUUAUUAAAAAUCUAUUGAGGUCACACUACAUAGCAGCAGCCAACAAGCAAUCUUUAUUUAUUAUCAAUUGGGAUAAGGUAUAGGUAACUGGAAGGAAUGAGGGAGAUUUGGUGGUGACUCACUACAAAUGUCACUCCAGUGAAAUGGUCCUUUCCCUUGGAGAUUUUUAAAAAAAUAACAUGGGAGAUCAGUAAGUAAAAUAUUAAAACUUUUAUUGGGAUUUUGUUCUAAAUAGGAUUUGAUCUUAUGACCGUUGGGAUAGUUAAUUGUAAUACCCCGCAUUUUCGGGCUUGUCUAUGAACCGUCGGUCUUACGUGUAUAAGCUAUAAUCCAAGUGAUUCCUAUGUGAAUAUAAGUUUCAUGAUCUUUAUCCUAGUGUGUGAAGUGCUCUUGAGGUUAAAAGUAUUCAUAGGAAUCACUUAGAGCCAAGUUGAGCUAAGAUAAUUUGAUUAGUCCAAAAUUUGACAUUUGAUUCUACAAGGGUUUACAUUAAAUGUGUAUAACUUUUUAUAUAAAUAGAAUUUUUUAUCUGAAGACCCACCAAAUUGUAUAUAAUUGAAUUAGCUUUACAACGACACCAAUUUCGCCAAAAUCCAAUACCCGAGCAAAAAGUUACAGCCAUUUUCGUAAAAAGGCAGUAAGCCGAGGUGAUAUGCCCGCGACACGCGCUCCAUCACCCCCAGCUAUUUCCCAAGUUCUGUUUUCAUGUUUUUAAGGGCAAAAAGGUCCUUUACUUUACCUUAACUUGUCCAUAACAGAAAAUUAAAGCCCCAAAACAUUAUUUAUAUUAUUAUUCAUCCUUUUCUCUCCAAAGAAAGCCCUAGCCCCCUCAAGAACACCAAGAACUCCAUCAAAUCUUCUUCAAGAAAAUCAUUCAAGAACAUUUCCAAGAACAUCAAUUUGAGUUAUCUUCUUCAAGAGACAAUAUUCAAGAACACAAAUAGGAAUUCAAGUCCAACUUAUUCAUCAAUUCUCCAAGAUAGUUCAAGAUUAAGAAUUUCCAAUUCAAGAAAUCCAAGAACUCAUCUUCAAAAGCAUCAUAGGAAUCCAAGAUUCAAGCUUUCUCAUAUAAGAUCAUCAAGUGAGGUAUGUAGGAUUUGAACAAGGACAAAUCUUUCAUUCUUGUGCCCAAAAAUUUAAAUUUUAUUAAAGAUUACAUGAUUUACAAGUUGGGGUUUAUACCCAAAGUAUCUUGUUUAAAGUUUAUGAAAUUAUAAGUGAUUUAAGCCUUGAAUUGCAUUUUUAUCCCACCAAUUUAUGCUUUGAAUUGAGAAUUUAUAUCAUGAAUUACACAUCCCUACUGUGAAUUGAUAUUUUCAAGUGUUUCCAAGAUAAUUGUUGAGAAUUAAGUUUCAUUAUGAAAUUAUGAUCAUUUAAAUACAUAUGAUUUAAACACAACUGAAUUUUGACAUUUCAUGAAGAGUAUAUUAUUAUCAUGCUUCAACAAGCAAACAUUCAUAUUUCAAAGAAAGAUUGAUCUUUCGAUCCUAAGCUAAGAUAGGAAUCCACAUUAUUUAUGAUUUAAAGCAAAGAAAAGCAUAAUUGAUUUUUAUUAUAGACCCUUGUGCUAAUUUAAGGUGGAUUUCCUAAAAGUUUUGAGCAAUAAUUAUGCGAGUAAUAUUUAGCAUCGAGUUGGGUAUGAUUCCAAGGUCUCAUAUCCCAGAACUACGUGCCACCGUAGGUUUCUAAUUUUCCCAUAGUGGGCUAAGAUAGUGAUCACUUAAGUUGAGGUUCUAUUCCGAUGGUAAGGGGAGAACAACUCUCCCCAACAUGGGUAAGACGUUGGACUCCAUGUCAGCUCACACGGUUUAUGUCGGUUUGAAGAAACUCUCUAAGUCCCAAAGUUCCAAGAUUCCCCAAAGUCCCUAAAAGUCUUUAGAUAAGGUAUUUUUCCUAACGUUUUAAAGCUUACAGACUACAGAUUUUAGAACAGGAAAGCUUUUAGAAAACUAAGUGUAAAGGCUCACAAAUUUUACUUAGAUUAUGCUUUACAAAAAGAUAUUAGCUUCAGAUUUAAGAUUUAAGAGUGAAUCUUUUCUACACUUAGACAGUAUGAUUUAAAGAGAGGAUACAAGUACAACUUUUAGAACUAGAUGUUAUGACUCAAUAGAUUUAUAAAGUAUGAUUUGCUAUUCAUGAUUUCAAAUUUCAGUAUUUCAGAUAUUCCAGCUAAUGUGAUUCAUCUACAUUUAGCAUGCGUUGUUUUACAAAUUAUGAUGAUGAGAUAAUAUUUUACUUAUGCAUUCACCCCAGUAUACUUAGUAUAUCCUUAAAGUACUGAUCCACGUAUAUGUCUAUGUGCUACAUUGUCUCAUAAUAUAGGUACGAGUUGUAGCACGCAUACUAUAUUCAGACAGUUGUAG